AACGAACGCUGGCGGCAUGCCUAACACAUGCAAGUCGAACGAGACCUUCGGGUCUAGUGGCGCACGGGUGCGUAACGCGUGGGAAUCUGCCCUUGGGUUCGGAAUAACAGUUGGAAAAGACUGCUAAUACCGGAUGAUGACGUAAGUCCAAAGAUUUAUCGCCCAGGGAUGAGCCCGCGUAGGAUUAGCUAGUUGGUGGGGUAAAGGCCUACCAAGGCGACGAUCCUUAGCUGGUCUGAGAGGAUGAUCAGCCACACUGGGACUGAGACACGGCCCAGACUCCUACGGGAGGCAGCAGUGGGGAAUAUUGGACAAUGGGCGAAAGCCUGAUCCAGCAAUGCCGCGUGAGUGAUGAAGGCCUUAGGGUUGUAAAGCUCUUUUACCCGGGAUGAUAAUGACAGUACCGGGAGAAUAAGCCCCGGCUAACUCCGUG
rnacentral:rRNA from 1 species